UGAUCCUAGAUAGUUUUCCCUUCAAGUCAA
rnacentral:miRNA from 1 species